rfam:Microbial mat metagenome hsmat05_BHWO1838_x1, whole genome shotgun sequence.
GUGCGGGUGACCGUUCGUCUGAAGGAAGCCCGUUUGCAAAUCCACGAGCCGACGAACAGGAAUCGUAUAGGAGGCCGAGUGCCUGGGUGAGGUGGCCAAGCGCACCGAAACCCACCAAAGGAGGGCUUACGGUAAAUACGGCGGUUGCGGGGAGACAGAUCGUGUU